GGGGGGAUAGCUCGAGUGGUAGAGCGCAUGCUUAGCAUGUAUGAGGUCCUGGUUUCCAUCCCCAGUACCUCCU
rfam:Camelus ferus unplaced genomic scaffold scaffold132, whole genome shotgun sequence.